rnacentral:snoRNA from 1 species
AUGUCUCAUGCCUCGCUCGGUCGAACGUUCUCCGUCGGUUGAUCUUGAGCUGGAUGCUUACCAUUCUCUGCUUUUGCAAGGAGGUUUAGUACGAGACAAGAGCAAUCACCUUUGCUGAUCUUUGAGUACGAUUCCAUCUUCUCCAGAUGGUGGACUAUUGUAAUUUAUGCGGCAAGACAU